rnacentral:rRNA from 1 species
UACAGAGGGUGCGAGCGUUGUUCGGAAUUAUUGGGCGUAAAGCGCGCGUAGGUGGUUUGUUAAGUUGAAUGUGAAAUCCCCGGGCUCAACCUGGGAACUGCAUGCAAAACUGGCAAGCUAGAGUAUGGUAGAGGGUGGUGGAAUUUCCUGUGUAGCGGUGAAAUGCGUAGAUAUAGGAAGGAACACCAGUGGCGAAGGCGACCACCUGGACUGAUACUGACACUGAGGUGCGAAAGCGUGGGGAGCAAACAGG